UGGGUAAUAUGGAUGAAGAUUAGGAGGUUACUUUAGCUUAUUUUAUAUAAUAGCCGAGGUGGGUAAUUUAUAUAUAGAUUUAGGAGGUUCCUUAGGCUAUUUUCAUAAUGGCGUAGGUCGGUAAUAUUUUAGAAAACAUAAUAGAUCCAAUGGCUAUGAUGAUUUGAAUCUAUCGAUUGCUAGUUGGAUGUUUUGCUUUUUUUAAGAAUUUCUAGUAUUUCUCUCUUUUUCUAGAAUAUCCACCUAGGAAUCCUUUCUUAGGUGGCUUCAUCUGGAGGUUUCAAAGGAAAAGAUUCCAAUGAUCAAACACACGGUCCUACGGCAGCUUGACUGGCCGUAUACGUGCAACUCGUCUAGACAUAUACGAACUAGCUGCAACAACUUGAAAUCUCAACCAAAAAAAAAACAACAUGAAAUCUAACUAGAACUUACACAAGAACAAGGACGAAAAUACUUUACCCAAAGGUACGUCUAGUGAUUAAGAACGAUGCAUUGCCUUGCUUAUAUAGCUAGGACUUAACCUUUACAAACCUACUCGGACUCCAACUCAAUGCAAUUUGACACAGACUCAUAAUCCUACUUGGCAUCCUAUCCAAAUCAAAAUAGCUCCAUAUACAGAGUCACAAAGGAUGACUGUUGCAGAACAGUGUAGUGUGCCUUGUCGAACAAAUCAGUAUCAUUGCUCAAACUUGAUUUCCUUCCAAGGGUGCCCAUUCCCCGCAGUCUCUCCUCGUAGCGUGAAGUUGGAACCCCAAUCAAGUCAAUUGAAUCAAUAAAAUCAACACAAAACUUGAUCAUC
rnacentral:lncRNA from 1 species